GAUGAAGAACGCAGCGAAAUGCGAUAAGUAAUGUGAAUUGCAGAAUUCAGUGAAUCAUCGAAUCUUUGAACGCACAUUGCGCCCGCCAGUAUUCUGGCGGGCAUGCCUGUUCGAGCGUCAUUACAACCCUCAAGCCCCCCGGCUUGGUGUUGGGGACCGGCCACCGGUGCCCUGCUGCUUCCGCGGCAGGCGCACCCGGCCGCCCCCGAAAUGAAUUGGCGGCCCCGUCGCGGCCUCCCUCUGCGUAGAAGCACACAUCUCGCAGCUGGAGCGCGGCGCGGCCACUGCCGUAAAACGCACCAACUUUUUUUACAGUUGACCUCGAAUCAGGUAGGAAUACCCGCUGAACUUAAGCAUAUCAAUAAGCGGAGGA
rnacentral:misc_RNA from 1 species